GCUCUUUGGGGCUGUCCUGCCCACGUCCCAUGAUCAAGGCACAAUAUAUACCAGCCUGGGAUCCAGGCACCUUGGGUUGGGAUCGGGGCUUGCCCUUCGCUGUGCUCUGUGCUGCCUGGGGACAUUGGUCUCCACCCUGGACUAAGCUCCCUCUCCGGGUGCCCUGGUCCCUCCUGUGGACCGGGGAGUCAUUCCUGGGUGCUUGGACCCUUUGCACCUGCAGAGAUUCUGAGAUGCUGGGUGUGAGCUAACUGCCUGGGAUGGCCAGGCUGAGCCCUCCUCUCCUGGCUUGCUGAGCCUUUCUCUGCUCUUAGGGUAGCUUGUCCAGGCCUCCCCACAAGAAGUCCUAAGGUGCUAGUCCAAGCUCUGACCAGCAAGGGCAAAGGAGACUUUCUCUUCACACCCACAGUCAUUGGGGUUGUACCUGCAUUCAUCCUUCUCAAAGAUUUUGUUACUGGGACAGGAAAGAGAGCGGGCUCCUACACAGGCCCCUGUGGAACACUUAGUGUCCUUCUGCUGUGAGUCUGCUCACGUAGCUCACCCACACAGCCUUCCCUCCAGGAACCUCUUGGUAUGGACCAGAGUAGACUCCGACCACCAGUCACCAAGAUGGACCGUGUCUCCCCACCCCCAUGGGCCCUGGCUGGCUUGUGAUCUUUGAACAUCCAUCCCCUUAGAUGAGAGACUUCACUGCCAUUGUGGUUCCACCCUCAGCCCUGGGAGCGGCUCAAAGCACACAUUCACCAUCCUUGUGUAACUGGUCCUGCAGGAGAUCCCAGAUGGGCCCUGACAAACAGCAUCUAGCUUUAUAGUUUGAGAUCACACUCAGAAAUUCUAAUUUACACAGAGAAAAUUCUUUUCUUUGACCAUGGUUCCUAAAGGCACUAGGGAAAGCAGGGCAAAGUUGUGAUGGAGCAAUUAACGAAGGGUUGGAAAAUGCUCCCAAACUCUCCAGUUUGGGAUUUGCAUCUCCAAGAAACCAUUCCACAGACUGAGAAAUCAGCUGCAAAAUAGAAUAAGGAAACUGGAACAUCUGAGGGCACGCCCGUGAGAGAUUAUAUUUUGAUGCUCUCCCUGCUCUACUGUCUCCCACCCACCCUCCUUUCUGGUGACACUGAGAGUAUAAAUUGGAGCUGGGCUCUGCCCCUGCAUCACAUCCAAGGCCAACAUGAAGACCGGCACCAUCUUUGUCCUGGUGGCUUUCAUCGUCAUGGGGCUGCAGGUGGCCUGUGCUCAGAGACCUCCUUCCAGAGGAUGACAGAGAUCUGGCUUCUGUCCAAAAUUGCCCAAAGGGACCAUGAGGCCUUGUGUGAAAAGGUGCACAGGACAUGAAUCGUGUCCCAAUGGAAUGAAAUGCUGCAGCAAUGGGUUCCUCCUCCCUUCUAUGUUGCCUACACCUCUUCUAUACCCUCAGUUCCCUCAUACUAAUUCCCUCCCUGCGCCUCCCUUUUCUUGGAAAUUGUCCCCAUUCCCUUUUCCUCUGAACUCAACUGCUGGAGGUUUCUAAGCAGAGGAAACAUCGUGAUCAAAUAUGUAUUUUACAAGCUUGUCCCUGGUGGCCAUGUGAAAGCUGGACCUGACGUUGAUUGAGCUUGCCUGGAGACCAGUCGCCGAAGAUGGCUCAUAAAUCCAUGAAUUCAACGCUGGGCAUAACAACAAGACCUCCGCAUCCACUCCUUCCUACUGCCUAUCCCUGGAGUUGGAGCCCUAGAAGAUGAAGCUCUAAAAUGGUCAAAUGACUGCUCUCUAGGAGCUUGUGUCCAAAAUAAAUUCUAUC